rnacentral:rRNA from 1 species
GUGGUAGGGGAGCGUUCUGUAAGCCGAUGAAGGUGUGUUGAGAAGCAUGCUGGAGGUAUCAGAAGUGCGAAUGCUGACGUGAGUAACGACAAAACGGGUGAAAAACCCGUUCGCCGAAAGACCAAGGGUUCCAGUCCAACGUUAAUCGGGGCUGGGUGAGUCGACCCCUAAGGCGAGGCCGAAAGGCGUAGUCGAUGGGAAAAUGGUUAAUAUUCCAUUACUUCUGUGUAAUGCGAUGAGAGGACGGAGAAGGCUAAAUCAGCCUGGCGUUGGUUGUCCAGGUGAAAGGAUGUAGGCAUGUAUCUUAGGCAAAUCCGGGGUACUCUAUGCUGAGAUCUGAUAGCAAGCUGUACUUGUACAGCGAAGUGGUUGAUGCCAUGCUUCCAGGAAAAGUCUCUAAGCUUCAGUUACACAGGAAUCGUACCCGAAACCGACACAGGUGGUCAGGUCGAGUAGACCAAGGCGCUUGAGAGAACUCUGCUGAAGGAACUAGGCAAAAUGGUACCGUAACUUCGGGAGAAGGUACGCUGUUGUUGGUGAUGGAACUCGCUUCCUGAGCUGACGACAGCCGCAGAAACCAGGCCGCUGCAACUGUUUAUUAAAAACAUAGCACUCUGCAAACACGAAAGUGGACGUAUAGGGUGUGAUGCCUGCCCGGUGCUGGAAGGUUAAUUGAUGGGGUUAGCGUAAGCGAAGCUCUUGAUCGAAGCCCCAGUAAACGGCGGCCGUAACUAUAACGGUCCUAAGGUAGCGAAAUUCCUUGUCGGGUAAGUUCCGACCUGCACGAAUGGCAUAAUGAUGGCGGCGCUGUCUCCAGCAGAGGCUCAGUGAAAUCGAAAUCGCUGUGAAGAUGCAGUGUACCCGCGGCUAGACGGAAAGACCCCGUGAACCUUUACUGCAGCUUGACACUGAACUUUGACCUUACUUGUGUAGGAUAGGUGGGAGGCUUUGAAGCUGGAACGCUAGUUCCAGUGGAGCCGUCCUUGAAAUACCACCCUGGUAAUGUUGAGGUUCUAACUCUGUCCCGUGAUCCGGGACGAGGACCGUGUCUGGUGGGUAGUUUGACUGGGGCGGUCUCCUCCUAAAGAGUAACGGAGGAGUACGAAGGUGCGCUCAGCGUGGUCGGAAAUCACGCGUAGAGUAUAAAGGCAAAAGCGCGCUUAACUGCGAGACCCACAAGUCGAGCAGGUACGAAAGUAGGUCUUAGUGAUCCGGUGGUUCUGUAUGGAAGGGCCAUCGCUCAACGGAUAAAAGGUACUCUGGGGAUAACAGGCUGAUACCGCCCAAGAGUUCAUAUCGACGGCGGUGUUUGGCACCUCGAUGUCGGCUCAUCUCAUCCUGGGGCUGAAGCAGGUCCCAAGGGUAUGGCUGUUCGCCAUUUAAAGAGGUACGCGAGCUGGGUUUAGAACGUCGUGAGACAGUUCGGUCCCUAUCUACCGUGGGCGCUGGAAAUUUGAGAGGAUCUGCUCCUAGUACGAGAGGACCAGAGUGGACGAACCUCUGGUGUACCGGUUGUGACGCCAGUCGCAUCGCCGGGUAGCUAUGUUCGGAAGGGAUAACCGCUGAAAGCAUCUAAGCGGGAAGCCUACCUCAAGAUAAGAUUUCCCUAGGACUUUAUGUCCUCUAAAGAGCCGUUCGAGACUAGGACGUUGAUAGGUUGGAUGUGGAAGCAUAGUGAUAUGUGAAGCUGACCAAUACUAAUUGCUCGUGAGGCUUGACUAU